GAUGAACGCUGACAGAAUGCUUAACACAUGCAAGUCGACCUGAACCUCGGUUUGGGUGGCGGACGGGUGAGUAACGCGUACAGAACUUGCCUCACAGAUAGGGACAACAUUUUGAAACGAAUGCUAAUACCUGAUAUUAUGAUUAUAUGGCAUCGUAUAAUUAUGAAAGCUAUAUGCGCUGUGGGAGAGCUUUGCGUCCCAUUAGCUAGUUGGCGAGGUAACGGCUCACCAAGGCGAUGAUGGGUAGCCGGCCUGGGAGUGUGAUAGGCCACAGGGGGACUGGGACACGGCCCUUACGCCUUCGGGGGGCAUCAGUGGGAAAUUUUGGACGCCGUACCACGUGUCUGAUCAAGCACUUCUGUGUGUACGAUGAAGUUUUUCGGAAUGAAAAGUGCUUUCAGUUGGGAAGAAAAAAAUGACGGUACCAACAGAAGAAGUGCCGGCUAACUACGUG
rnacentral:rRNA from 1 species